rnacentral:lncRNA from 10 species
GGCUAUUGACAGUUAUGUCCAGGACAGAAUGGCCCAGUCCCAGGGUUUUUCAAUCCACCAUAAAUAUGGGUAAGAGGAGGGUCACAUGCUGAAGAAUGGGAGCCUUAUCCACAUCUUGGCUACGCAGGUGGAUCUUUGUUGGUGAGGUCGCCAAGUGUUGCACACAUUGCUGGAUUCCUUGUGCCAGGCCUGUGGGCCCAUUCCCAACAUCAGGGGGCUCUGCUGCCGAUAGCUGCAACCUCCUCAAAGGGCAUCCAGUACAGGUACUUACGGUUAAUUUUUUAUGCGAUGAACAGGCAACAUAGCAGGACUGAUCAGGCUGCAAGCAUCCAGACGGCAAAAGAAUAAAAAGACAAAUGCUAAAGAAAUGUACAUGGAGGUGUCUGGGCUGUCUGCAUUUGACCUCCUGCUUCCCUGUAAGCUCCCUGGAAGUACCACAGCUCUUCAUGACACACAAGCGGCAAGCCGAAUGCAACUCUGAUUUGAUGGCAAUAAUUGCUGUACUAAUCAGUCUGGGAAUACACUUCAGGAAGUCGCUUGUUCCUAUGUCCCCUGUUCAGUCCAGAAGCCUCCCUGCAUCUUUCAGCCCUCCAUGGAAACUUUGGACCUGAAUUCAAAAUGAACUGAGAAAUCUUGUCCCAGCAUUUGAAAUAAAGGUAACACUGGUUCCCUUCCUUCCUCCUCCCUUCUCCCCCAAUCUUCACAAAAUAGAA